UCCUUUUAUUUUAGUGCUCCAGAAUUUGAUGUGUCAGAGAUAGAGAAUCUUUUCUCUGCAACAGUCCCUAAACCUGCUGAUUCAGGGGGUAAAGCUGGAGGGCGUCGUAAGUCUACUGGAUCCAAAACUGACAAAGUUCACCUGAUUGACCUGAGGAGGGCAAACAACACUGAAAUUAUGCUCACAAAAGUUAAGAUGCCGCUUCCUGGUAUGAUGGCUGCAGUGCUAGCGAUGGAUGAAUCAGUAUUAGAUGUUGAUCAAGUGGAAAAUCUAAUAAAAUUUUGUCCUACAAAAUAAGAGAUGGAACUUCUCAAGGGUUACACAGGUGACAAGGAGAGCCUGGGAAAGUGUGAACAGUAUUUUAUGGAGUUGAUGAAAGUUCCUAGAGUGGAAUCAAAAUUGCGAGUGUUCUCUUUCAAGAUUCAGUUCAACUGUCAGAUUUCAGAAUUUAAAAAGAGUUUGAACACUGUGAACUCUGCAUGUGAAGAGGUCUGGAAUUCCCUCAAAUUAAAAGAUAUUAUGAAGAAAAUUCUUUUUCUGGGUAAUACUUUGAACCAAGGGACUGCAAGAGUAUGAAUGUAGAAUAAAAAAGGUUCGCCAUGAAGAUAGCACAUUAAGAAUGAUCAGAAAUCGGCAAAAAACACUAGAACGCUGUGAAAAGUUGAGGAAAUAUGUGAUGUACACAUGGGGCUUUAGCAUAUUAGAUGACGACCACGACAACAAGAAAAAUGGAUCAUGUUGCAGUGGUGAUAUGCUAAAAUCUAUCAGCGAAAAAGGAUCAUCACAAAAACAUAGGCAACAGAGCAUAACAGAUUCUAAGAUUCCUGCUCCAAAUCAUUCCCACACUUGUAGAACCAAGUCUCUGAUACCACGAACUGCUUUGAGUCUUGAAGAGAAGUCAGAUUCUCGGGGUGAACAUUCACAGAAACAUGAGGAAGAACAACAAUCCGGUGGAUCAUGCAAGGAAAGUUCAUCCCAGCUUGUUUCAUUCUAUUUAUCUCAUGCCAACAUUCCUCUUCCACCUACCUUAGUUAUUCCAUUUUGUUGCUGUUUGCUACAAAGUUGAAGGAUUCUUCAGAAAUGGAUAUGUCUGAUGUUCAAAAGAAUCUCAAAUGUUUGUACGAGUACAAUGUCAUGCUGAGGGAGAAAUUUUUAUCUGUGCAAUCUAUGCUUCAUGAGUUAGCAACAAAGUCCUUGCCUCCUGCAAAUGAUGACAUUCCUAACACCUCAAAGUUUUUCAAGCAAGUAGUUAUACAUAGUAUAUCCCUUUGCCAAUCAGUGACCUUGAUUCUUGGUUGAAGACACCCUCCAUAUAUGUUUUUGAUUGCUCUGCGGCUAGGGGAAUAUUGUGAAUGCUUUUAUUGAGCUUCAUGAUUGGGUUGCUUCUAGCUCCUCUGGAUCCACAAGGGAUUGCAUUCUACUUGGAGCUUGUGAAGCACAUGAGAUUCUUCCACAAAGUGCUGAAUUUCCUGUAGAUGUGUUUACGUCUUGUCUCACAACACCUAUUAAGAUGGCUUUGAGAUGGAUCUUGCAGGCAAAGGACACCAAGUGAAUUAGAUAGAGAGGUUAAGAACUUGAGGGUGGCAUUUACUGACCUAUUUUUGAAGCAUAACACUUUCAAAGAAACUGCAAAGCCAUCGAGAUAUUGAUGCAAAGAAUGGAAGAAUGUAUUUCACUAAUUUUUGUAUACAUUUCUUGUUUUGUAUUUAGUGAUAAAGGAAUCUGAAUUGGGCAUAAAUUAUGUUGUAAUAUGAUUUCUUAAGCCUAGACUAGUAGACUAAAUAUUGUAAUUACAUUUGAGUAAUUAAUAAAAAUCUAUUUAUGUUA